UGAGGAAUAUUGGUCAAUGGACGGAAGUCUGAACCAGCCAAGUAGCGUGCAGGAUGACGGCCCUAUGGGUUGUAAACUGCUUUUGUAUGGGGAUAAAGUUAGGGACGUGUCCCUAUUUGCAGGUACCAUACGAAUAAGGACCGGCUAAUUCCGUGCCAGCAGCCGCGGUAAUACGGAAGGUCCAGGCGUUAUCCGGAUUUAUUGGGUUUAAAGGGAGCGUAGGCCGUGGAUUAAGCGUGUUGUGAAAUGUAGACGCUCAACGUCUGAAUUGCAGCGCGAACUGGUUCACUUGAGUAUGCACAACGUAGGCGGAAUUCGUCGUGUAGCGGUGAAAUGCUUAGAUAUGACGAAGAACUCCGAUUGCGAAGGCAGCUUACGGGAGCACAACUGACGCUGAAGCUCGAAGGUGCGGGUAUCAAACAGGAUUAGAUACCCUGGUAGUCCGCACAGUAAACGAUGGAUGCCCGUUGUUAGUUCACUUAAGAAUUAGCGACCAAGCGAAAGCAUUAAGCAUCCCACCUGGGGAGUACGCCGGCAACGGUG
rnacentral:rRNA from 1 species